CUGUUCGAGGAGGCCCUGAAUGAAACCACAGAGAAUCCCAGCUAGAAUCAAGGCCUAUACUUGAUUUGCAUCCCACUCCCUUUCUUCCCACCCCUUAAAAACUACCCUAGAGGCCCUUGGUGGGGCCAAGUUCCUUCUUCCAUGAUGCACACCUGUCUUCAGUCAGAGUCUUUUGUUCUACAUCUCACUGGCAAGACAAAGGAAGUGAAAGCUUCACUAGCAGGCAGGGAAUGAGCAGCCCCCCACCCACACCUGUUGUUCCCUGACGGAUACUUUUGGCCCAGGGAAGCAGUUAGGGGGCCUAACUUUAAGUAGAGAGCUCUUUGAAAUUGGCUCUCUGAUGCUUGUCUUUCCGACUUAGAGCAAGCAGGUUGACUUCCUAGGUUACUUACGGUAGAAGUUCUUAUUGCAGGUGGCUGCAGAAGUUGGGGCCACGUUCUCAUUAGACACCUGAUCCUCCAGUUGUCUGAUUGUAGAGAGUGCCCAUUAGAUCGCUCAAGACCUAAGGCAUGUGGAAUAACCGUAUUGCUGAAUGGCCAGCGUACUGUGGAAACUUCUGUUGGUAUAGAGACGUUAUGCUACUGCUGAUGAGUGUGUGUGUGUCCCCCUAUAUUUUGGUGACAUGAAGGAAAAGACCAGAAUAGGAAUUUGAAGGCCUCUCCUCUCUUCAAUGUGGCCUCUAGUUGUUUAGUCUCAGGCAAAUUGCCUAAUCAUUUUCUGUAUGUGCUCUCCUCUGUCAAAAAAAGAAUUAAUGCACAUGCUUUUCCACCUGUUCACACUGUGUGCUCUGAUGCAAUGAAUGAACAUACAUGGACGAGUCCAGCAAGGUGCCUACUCAUGCUGGGAUUAAGACUCCAUCACCAUUGUCUUUAUAGUGGCUAAUAUCAUUGGAGUGAUAAAGACAGGCACCUUCCCAUGUAAUAUCUUCUUCAUCCCCAUCUUCUUUAGAGGCAGAUCUUAUCUUCUGUUAUAAUGGGAACAUCUGUCUCGAGUAUAAGGAAUCUUGAAGAGCUAUUAUAGUUUAAUAUCAUGACCGAAUAUAGCAUGUAGAUGCUGACAUAGGCUUGACCUUGAUAAGGGCUAAUCCACUUCUGCGGAACAUUCUGGGGAAGACCUCAUGACCUUAAGCUGUAAGGAAGAGUUUUCAAUGGCAGGAGUCUUGUCCAUGGUCUUCCCCAUAUCCCCAGCUCUAUAGAAAAGGCAUGAGUUAUUAAGGAAGAAACUUGUAGGGACUGGCUAUAGGUUCUAACACCUAUGGUUUUCUCAGUGUUUUCCUUGUAUCCUAUGUUCACCAUAUACAAAGUGUGGGACAGGUACCAGGAGGAAUUGAUAAGAAGUAUUUCUAGCAUGUACACAUACACUGGUUUCAAAGGUUUUUACUCCCCUUGCCCAACUUUGUUGCCAUGCCUUAGUUCUCGUUCCAAAUAGCCUUUCAGCCUCGUCUUCUCAUUUCAAUAUCUAUAUCCUUGGGAGCCUCGGGCUGUGCUCAGAGAACCUAGACUUUGUUCAGGGAUCUCUGAAAUAUGUUAAAAUAUUUAACUCUAAUAACUGCUGGAGCAAAAUACAUCACUUCUGUACCCACAUUGUAUUUAGCCUCCACCCUCUACCACAUACUAUUGUAAGACACAUGUUCCAUAUUAGAUCUAAGGUAUAAGUAUGGCUUAGUCCUGAAGAGGUCUCUGAAACCUAGUUAUUUGAUUUCUGCAUCUUGGGGGUCUCUGGAUGCUGUGAGAAUACUGCCAGACUCAAGGACUUCAAUUUCUCUGGAUAGCUAAAGUUGAAAUUGUUAGUUUCAAGUCAUUGUUCAGAAAACGGUUGCUACUUAGAAUUUUAAUUGGGUUCUGUAAAAUACGUUUGGUUUAUCUGCUUAAAUCAUUUGCAUUUAUGAAUGUCUGCUUUGCCCUUUUUAGUCCCCGAAAAAUCCCAGGGACAACAUGUCAAAGCAUCUGUUGUGAACCCUGUUUCUAGCCUCGGAGAAAUACCAGGGAUGUCGGAGCCACUGCAGGGCCAUGUGGGAACACACUUUGCAGUCAGCACACCUGGCCCAGCCUGCCUGCCUCACCUGCGACCUUAGGUGGUUUCACCUCUACAGACUGUGGCUUCUGGGUUUAUAAAAACCGACGGCGCCUAUGGAGUUUAGACGAGAACAACCAAGGAAGAACAAAGGAGUGGACGUUGGUGGAAUAUGGCCGCGUCUUCACUUAAGGCCACUGUGACUAGCCUAGGCUACCGAAGGUUUGCUUGUGCAAAGAAGUUGAUGCUUUCACAACAGGAUAGCUUCAGCUGGCUGCCUGAUACGUCUUCUCAGAGAAUGGAUAUAGCACCCAAGCAACUACAUGACGACAAAAUGAAACAAAGACGUGAAGAGACUUUGCCUAUGAAGGACCUUACACUCCUGUUACCAUGUCUUCCUGCCAUAAAGAACCCAUAUCCUCUCUUAACUCAGCAGAAGAAGCUUCUCCCUAUUCAUUUUAAUUUUUUCCAGUUAUUUGAUCAUAUCAACAAGCAAAGUAACAAACCGAGAAAGUUAAAACCAAGAUCUCGGACUGUUUCCCUGCCAGCCUGUCUGUGUGGUUCACAGGCUUUGGAACCAGAAGGAAGAAAGGAGAAGAGAUUUGGACAUUGAAGACUUAGAAGCCCUAAGGGUUGGAAGCAGAUGUCAAUGGGUCAUUCAGGUGGGGGUGUGGGAGGUUAAGGAUGAUAAUAGAGACGGGGAUAGUAAAGUCUCCCACCCAUCAGUUUUCAGAGAAAGAGAACAAGUAGACUAGAAGCCAUUCAUGCUACUCUCUGGCAAAGAAUCUAGCUUUGUUCUUUCAAUGGCCUGAGAACCUGAGUGAGGUUGAAUUCAGAAGUAAUGAACUCAGUUGUUUGGCAGAAGAAAUAUCAAGACAGAAGGACAUUCAGGCUAUGAAAUUGCUACAGUUCUUUCCUCCUAUCAAGAUUUGUAGUGAGAAACAGUAGGUAGAGCAUGAUGGGAAAAUGGCAAAUUCAGCAUGUAAGAGCUUCCAAGUGAAUUUAAAGUGGUGGACAAGAAGAGUGCAGAGAAAGUAUUGUUAUUGCUAAAGAGGCUGGUGUAAUGGAGGAGAAAGCUCACAUUUUGCAUUUGGACAAGAGAAAAGAUAUCUUUAGGGAAAGCCUCCAUCUGUGAAAAUCUCGUUUGUUUAAAAAAAAAAAAAGCAAAUUCAUUUGAAAGAAAUCCAAACAGAGAAUACUAUGGAAUGUUUUUUUUUUUUUUGUUUUUGUUUUUUUUUUUUGCUAAAAAACAACCUCCCAGAGAAGUGUUUCCCCAGCAUUGGCUAUCAGUACACAUAGAGGCCACUAGAACUAUGGAUGAAUGAGGCCAGACUACAUCUCAAGCUGUCUUAUUUGAUCUUACGUUCCUUGCUUUGCAUUAUCUUGCCUGUGUGGAAUGGACACUUUAUUUUGCAACUUUAGAAGAUUAUGGUUUCCUUUUUUAAAUUUUACAAAGGCUCAUGGGUAAGAGAAUUCCUUGAUUCAUAAAAGAUAUUUUGGGCACUUGAACAACGUUUCAGCAAACAAUCUUACGACCUUUAAGGCUUUAGAUACCCUUACAGGGGAGCCAAGUGAAUUUUUGCAUCACGAGACUGACACAAGCUCUUGAAGAACCGGGAUAAAAUAUUUUAUGAAUUAAAAGUAAAGUUGAUAAGGGGCGGACUUGCAAUCAUUAACUUUCAUUGACAACUUGAUUUGAUUUAGUAUUCCCUCUGCAUAUGUCUGUGAAGGCAUUUUCAAAGGUCUGUAACUGGAGAGAGAAGAUCUACCCUGAAUAUGGAGACUGCCAUAUUCUGGGAGCUGGGGUCCCAGACUGAACAAAAAGGUUGGGAAAGAAAGGCAGAUGAGUGUCAGGGUUCAUCUGUUUCUGAGUCUGACUACAGAUGCAAGAUGAAGAGACACCUAUCCUCCCAUUACUGGGAUAUCCUUCCCACCAUGACGGAGUAUACUCUUUUGUAAGUGAUGAGCCCAAAUACAGCCUUUCCUGACCUUGUUCUUGUCAAGGAGGAAAACAACUAACACAAGUUUUGGAUUUGAUUCCUUUUGAAAUUUAUGUGGUCUUAGUCUGCUUAGAAAAGGAGACCGUGGCACUGUAGAAGGGUGGGAGCAGAAGGUAACAGUACCCGGAUAUCUUCACUCUGAAUGACUUCAGCUGGGUUCGCCAACUGUUAAAUUUCCCUUAACCAGUAAGACCAUUUAUAGAGUCUCAAUAGUAUGCUCUUGGGGAAACUUCCUCCCAACCCACUGAGAAGAGUUUUAGCAAUGCAAAACUCUGACUCUGUAGAACUACGUGUUCAGUGUCAUUUGAAUAUCCAUGGGGUAUUCUAAUGUUGAGAAAACAUGUCUAAUAAUCUUUCAAUACACUGGAGUAGCAUGUAUCUAUCCACAUGUGUGGUUCACUCUGGUCCUGCUCAGAGGUUGGAAUGGCUGACAAGCAAUAAAGAGAUGAAGAGAACCAGUUUAUUAGCUCCACUAAUUCCCAGGACUUGAAUCUCCUCUUCUAUCUCCUGGUUACUGACCUCUGACAUUUACUCGACAAGGUAGGGGCACCCUGAUUCUCCCUCUCUCUCCUGCCAUCUCUGUUAGGAUGCCUGCCGGUCGAUCUAGCCCUCUUCUUCCUCCUCUUCCUCUCUGUAUCUUUUCCUCUUCCAGUUACACUUCGUACUUUUACAUACAUCAAACAGCAAAAGCCAUAUCUGAUGCUACAGCUUCUAACAGUCCUAUAUUUUCACCACAGUCAUCGGACAGAGAACAGUGUCUCUUUGUUGAUUUUAGCUGUAAAAUUUACCCAGAAAGGACUCUGGUGGCAUCUUCUCCCUACCAGUUUCUCUGUGCCUCAGGGAAAGUGAUUUGGAUGCUAGUCUAGAAACCAACUGGUAGAUGCAGUCAAACGUCAGGAGGCAGAGCCUUGGGAGAUCCUGGGGGAAACGGGAGAUUAGAGUUAGAUGGUGCGGGGUUUGAGCACAGCCAGAACAUCUGAUGAUUCUGGUUGGGGCAAUGGUACUGUUUCCAAAGAGAAAUCUGCUGAAGACAGGGGUGGAGUGGAUUGAUUAGCCCAGAGGGAGACUGGAGCCAGGGAACCAAGUUUCAAAGAUAGAACUUAACUAUAGGCAUGCUAGCCCAAGAAUUAUUUAUAAUAGCCGAAAGAGCGGUAAGCACAAACUAUGACAAAGUGAAAUGGUGGAAUACCGUGCACUCAGCAAAAAUCAUGUUCUUGGCUACUAUUAGAGAAGCAUAUUUCAAAGUCAGGAUUUUAUAAUAUUUACCCUCGUGGGAGACACAGACAUUACAUAGCACAAGUGAAAUCACUGAAUUUAAAGAGAGUUGCAUUCUAGAUUCUUCUUUGCCUAACCAGAGCCAACUUACAAUGUUAUUUUCUAAGUCUGAUUAUCCCUCUUCUGGCUGGUCUUACAAGGUCACAACAGUGUUCAAAAUAUUUGACUAAAAUUAUUUGUCAUUAAUUUCUGGCACAAAACACAGUUUAGUAUCCUAUGUACAAAAGAUUUUCAAAAAUCCUUUAGUAUGGAUCACUUUUGAUUUGAGAUUAAAAUCAUUUCUUUCUUUCAGGACUAAGUUUGAAUAAACAUGCUAGGAACAGACUACACAAAACUCAUACAUUUCUGCCUGAGGUGUUCCUCAGCAGUGGAAAAACACAUUUGAGAUUCCACUGUUAUCUGUGUGAGCAUUCUUUUGUAAGCACCAGUUGGUUGCACUGACGAUUCACUGUUUAAAGAAAUCCCGCACUGAAUCAUCUUUUGAAGCCAGUCUUAAGAAGAAAACACAGUGAGCGAAUAAAUAAAGUUCAAAGGAGACUGCGGUGGCCAAUGAAACAGUCAGCUGACAGAUCCCUUAAAGUGCCCCAGCCUGGACCCGCUGCAUCCCGCCAUAUCCUCAGAGAGUGAAACACUACCCUCUGUGAAACUGCUUCAAUCACAGCUCCCCAAGCUGGCUUGGGAAGAGACAUCGCUUUAAUUGCGCUGCGAGAAAGAAAACAGUGCUAUGUUCUCAAAAGGACAGAAUCCUUGUAAAAUUUAUGUAGCUCUUUAAUACAAUGUGCUCCAGUUUAAAGAGGUGGGGGAUUUACAUGUGUUAAGCGCUCCUACAAAUCUACUUUACCCUUUUUUGGAAAAGGGCAACACAAUAAUAGUUAAAUUUAUGUGUACGAUGUCUAUAGUGGAGAGCUGCUCAAAUCGGUAAAUAUUACACGGCAGACUUGCUGCUUCUGCUUUUAAUCUCCAAAUAUCUCUGACAUAACACUGCAUUCCGAGUGAGGGCCACUUAGCCACACUCUCUAAACUUUUGUGGCCUGGCUCUGGAUCAUGAACAGAAGAUUAUAAAAUCCAAACUCGAAAUGGGCUCCUUACUCUCUGUCACUUGCAGAUCCUUCCCGCCCUGUGUGUAGAUGUCAGUAGAUUCUUCCCUAAAGAACACUUUCAAAGUGUGUGCUUUUCUACCAAAUCCUGCAUUUCGCCUAUUUUCAUCUCUAUCCUUACAAGUCUCCAAAAAGUUCGUCUUGCUUUUAUUUUACCACUGGGAAACAAACUCAUUUUCCCAUUUUUCUUUAGCAUGAAAUGUAGGAGCUAAUACUUCAAGGAUUAACUUGUCCACUUAUUCACGUGGAUACUAACAGAUGGGCACUCACGAACACCCACACUCACACAUAAACUCACACACAUGCAUACACAGAGAUAUGCACACACAAUGUAAUAUGAUUAUGAUUUACCAUAAUGCGCGCACACACACAGACACACACACACACACACACACACACACACACACACACACACACACACACACACACAGACAACUGUUCUGAGGCCAGCUUCCUGCAUGGCUGAAGUAUUAGGUCCCUAUCUUGUUUUGUUUGACCAUGAGAUUUAAAAUGCUUCUUGGAAAUAGUUUUUGGGCCCAGGGCCAGCCACCUGAUCCAUGACUUGUACCAUUUAGAAUUUCUCUUUUGUUUGAAAAAAAAAAAAAAAGAAAGUUGAACUAUGAGACAAGAGACUAGAGGUCAUGGUGAUUCCUGGCCCAUGAAAACUUGGUGCAGAGAGAGCGUCUGGCACGAGGAGCAAGAGAAGGGAGCAGAUGGUGGAUCAUGUGGCCCAGGAGAGAAAAGCAAGACUGGGAGAGUCACUGCUUUAGUUCCUGAUGGUUCUCCAGGUCCCAGUUCAGGCUUCUGAGGACUGGCUGUGCUUCCUGCACCAAGGCUCUUUGUGACAUCUUUGUGUCAUUGUAAGAAAUGCCAUCAGCUUGCAGUUAGGUGAAGAUUUCCUUACGGAAACCCAAGUGAAUACUAAGAUAAUGCCCAAAUGUUCAUAGGGCCAUAACCUACAUUUGUUACCUACCUAUACACAAGUAGGCUGCAUUCAUAUUUAAUUAUCAUGUAUGCCCAAUGCAAGAGAGUCAUUGUCUCCAGAAAGACAAGAUAAAAGCUCUCUCUCUCUCUCUCUCUCUCUCUCUCUCUCUCUCUCAUUAUUUUAUGUGUAUGAAUGUUUCAUCUGCAUGUAUCCAUGUGUGCCACAUAAAUGCAUGAUGCCCAUGGAGCUUAGAAGAGGGUCCGCAUCCCCCGGAACUGGAGUUACAGGGAGUCGUGAGCUGCCAUGUGGGUAGUAGGAAUGGAACGAGUGACCUCUGGAAGAUUAGCCAGUGUUCUUAACCACUGAGCCAUCUUUCAAGCCCCCUGCUUUCUCUUUGUAUAAAGACAUUCAAUUACAUCACUCAAUCACAUUGUUAACAAAAAAAGGUAUUUGGCUGAGUUUAAUUUUUUUAACAAGUUCACACGAUGUACUGUGAUCCUAUCUCCCCCGUGCCUGCCCCCAUCUCCCAUUGACCCCUGUCAUUUCCCAGUCGGUUCGCCUCCUAUUUUCUCUCUCUUGGUUUAAUAGGGUUCUCUGUAUGAACAGGACUGUGGAUCAUUUAUUAGAGCAUCAGCAACUUGACUAAUGGCUCCACUAACUACUAAACCAAACACCACCACUGGCAACCAUUGACAGUUAACAGCUCCUCGAGGAGGGUGGGGCCCCGUGAGGCUUCUCACCUCUUCAGGAUGAAAUGCUAAAGGGCCCAGGAUCUCCUGUGGGUCUGAUGCAGGUAACCCCACAUACCUAUUCCUAGCUUCACUUGAUUUUUAUCCAUCAAAAUAGGUAGGGGAGAUAAGUGUUCCAUGAGAGGAAACAGCAUAGGUUCUAAAGAAUCUGGGAAAGGGAACCCGUGUUUCCUACAGACCGAGCUGGUCAACUAAAAGAGAAGACCCAUGGGAAGAAGGCUGAAAUAUAGGUGUCAUGACCCAAUAGUCCAAUGUGCAGGGUAUAUUCAGUGAUAUAGGAGCAGUGAGAAGCAGAUAGAAAGCAGGAGAGAAGGAGAAUAGGGAGGAUGAGAAAGGAGGUGGGAGGGGAGGAAGGGAAGGAGGGGAAGGAUGGGAUAGAUGGAGAGAUGUGGGGAGGGGGGAUGUAGAAGGCAGUAGGGUUAUCAAACUUCUUCCUCUCAAAGACGUCCAGCAUCAUGUGCGGUGAGCUCCUUAAAGGCUGAAGCUUUCAUUUUCUGAUUCAGGGUUCAAAGGAUUAAGCUGGGAAAAAAAAGAUUCUUAGCUCUGCCAAUUGACUUUUCCUCACAGAGGCUAAAAUUUUGGUGAUUUGUAGGAACAGUUUUAUGAAAUAUACCUUUCAGUGGUUAAUUUUGAAAACCAUGUUUGGAUGUUGUAUCAACCAGCCAUUAUCUCUAGGUUUGAUAGGACAGGACUGUUGUGUUUUAUAAAACCAAGGAUGUGUGUUAUAGAAGGUAUGGUGAGUUGGGAGGGGUACCUCAGUGGGCCCAGGCUCAGGCAUCCUUCCCACCAAGGUACCAGUCUUACCACACGUGUAGUACAGAAUAGAGUUUAUUCAGGGGCAUGGGAUGGGGAGUUGAGAAAGGAGUAGAGGCAGAACACUGUGGAGAGAGAGGGUAGGGGGAAAGGGAGAGAGGGAGGAGUGGGCCAGAGAAAGAAAAGGGGCAGAGAGAGAGAGAGAGAGAGAGAGAGAGA